rnacentral:rRNA from 1 species
UACGUAGGGUGCAAGCGUUAAUCGGAAUUACUGGGCGUAAAGCGUGACGCAGGCGGCUAUGCAAGACAGAUGUGAAAUCCCCGGGCUACAACCUGGGAACUGCAUUUGUGACUGCAUGGCUAGAGUACGGCAGAGGGGAUGGAAUUCCGCGUGUAGCAGUGAAAUGCGUAGAUAUGCGGAGGAACACCGAUGGCGAAGGCAAUCCCCUGGGCCUGUACUGACGCUCAUGCACGAAAGCCGUGGGGAGCGAAACAAGGAUG